rnacentral:misc_RNA from 1 species
AACGCACCUUGCGCCCUUUGGCUAUUCCGAAGGGCAUGCCUGUUUGAGUAUCAUGAACACCUCAACUCUCAUGGUUUGCCAUGAUGAGCUUGGACUCUGGGGGUCUUGCUGGCCUGCGGUCGGCUCCCCUCAAAUGAAUCAGCUUUCCAGUGUUUGGCGGCGUCACGGGUGUGAUAAAUAUCUACGCUUGUGGUUUUCUGCCAGGUAACCUUCAGCGAUGGAGGUUCGCUGGGGCUCAUAAAUGUCUCUCCUCAGCGAAGACAGCUUUGUGAAUGUUUGAUCUCAAAUCAGGUAGGACUACCCGCUGAACUUAA